CCUACGGGUGGCAGCAGUGAGGAAUAUUGGUCAAUGGACGCAAGUCUGAACCAGCCAAGCCGCGUGCAGGAAGACGGCUCUAUGAGUUGUAAACUUCUUUUGUACGAGGGUAAACGCAGAUACGCGUAUCUUUCUGAAAGUAUCGUACGAAUAAGGAUCGGCUAACUCCGUGCCAGCAGCCGCGGUAAUACGGAGGAUUCAAGCGUUAUCCGGAUUUAUUGGGUUUAAAGGGUGCGUAGGCGGUCAGAUAAGUUAGAGGUGAAAUCCCGAGGCUCAACCUCAGAAUUGCCUCUGAUACUGUUAGGCUAGAGAGUAGUUGCGGUAGGCGGAAUGUAUGGUGUAGCGGUGAAAUGCUUAGAGAUCAUACAGAACACCGAUUGCGAAGGCAGCUUACCAAGCUACUUCUGACGUUGAGGCACGAAAGCGUGGGGAGCAAACAGGAUUAGAUACCCGGGUAGUC
rnacentral:rRNA from 1 species